rnacentral:rRNA from 1 species
CAGCAGCCGCGGUAAUACGAAGGGCGCGAGCGUUGCGCGGAAUGACUGGGCUUAAAGGGUGCGUAGGCUGAUAGGCAAGUGGCUUGUGAAAUCCCAUGGCUCAACGCGGGAAGUGCUUGGCAAACUGCAUGUCUUGAGGUCGGUAGGGGUUGGCGGAACGGUUGGUGGAGCGGUGAAAUGCAUAGAUAUCUGGAGGAACACCGGUGGCGAAAGCGGCUCACUGGUCCGUCUCUGACGCUGAGGUGCGAAAGCUAGGGUAGCGAACGGGAUUAGAUACCCCGGUAGUCCACGCCCUAAACGAUGUACACUAGAUCGUAGACGUUUUCAGACCCCGAGGGUCGAAGCAAAAGGGAUAAGUGUACCGCCUGGGGAGUACGGUCGCAAGGCUAAAACUCAAAGGAAUUGACGGGGGCUCACACAAGCGGUGGAGCAUGUGGCUUAAUUCGAAGCAACGCGAAGAACCUUAGCCAAGGCUUGACAUGGAGGGAUUAACUCCCUGAAAGGGAGGCACACUCUUGGAAAGUAGUGGCACGCGCACAUGUGCUGCAUGGCUGUCGUCAGCUCGCUCUGUGAGGUGUCGGGAGAGCUCGCAUAAGGAGCGAAGCCCCUUUCUUCAGUUGACAGCGGGUAGAGGCAGGCACUCUGGCC